rnacentral:rRNA from 1 species
CACGAACCGUACGAACGUUAUUCGGAAUUACUGGGCUUAAAGGGUUUGUAGGCGCCCAUGUAAGUCGGGUGUGAAAUCCCUCGGCUCAACCGAGGAAUGGCGCCCGAUACUGCAUGGCUUGAGGGAGACAGGGGUAAGCGGAACUGAUGGUGGAGCGGUGAAAUGCGUUGAUAUCAUCAGGAACACCGGUGGCGAAAGCGGCUUACUGGGUCUCAUCUGACGCUGAGGAACGAAAGCUAGGGGAGCGAACGGG